ACCGGUGCUAAUACCGCAUGAGGUCACCGAGCGCAUGCUCGGGUGCAGAAAGCAGCAAUGCGCGAGGGGGUGGGCCCGCGGCCUAUCAGCUAGUCGGUGGGGUAACGGCCUACCGAGGCGAUGACGGGUAGCUGGUCUGAGAGGACGACCAGCCACACGGGGACUGAGACACGGCCCCGACUCCUACGGGAGGCAGCAGUGAGGAAUCUUCCGCAAUGGGCGAAAGCCUGACGGAGCAACGCCGCGUGUGGGAUGAAGUCUCUAGGGAUGUAAACCACUGUCGGAAGGGAAGAGUUAAGGACGGUACCUUCCAAGGAAGCCCCGGCUAACUACGUGCCAGCAGCCGCGGUAAUACGUAGGGGGCGAGCGUUACCCGGAUUUACUGGGCGUGAAGCGCGUGUAGGCGGCUGACCAAGUGUGGUGUGAAAUCUCCCGGCUCAACCGGGAAACUGCAUUGCAAACUGGUC
rnacentral:rRNA from 1 species